rnacentral:tRNA from 1 species
AGGAAUAUAGUUAAAUAUAACAUUUAGUUUGCAUCUAAAAAGUAUUGAUUUAUUCAAUUUUUCUUA